rnacentral:rRNA from 1 species
UACGGGAGGCAGCAGUGGGGAAUAUUGCACAAUGGGCGGAAGCCUGAUGCAGCAACGCCGCGUGAAGGAUGAAGGUUUUCGGAUCGUAAACUUCUGUCCCUGGGGAAGAAACAAAUGACGGUACCCAAGGAGGAAGCCCCGGCUAACUACGUGCCAGCAGCCGCGGUAAU